AAAACAAAAUAGAUAUUGACAAAAGAAAAGAUAUAAAGAAUGACUAGAAGGCGCGUGAGAAUGAAGUUUCAGCCUCAUGAUAUUAUUAGAGAAUAAUAUUAAAAGUGAAGCUCAUGCAUGCGUGGACGAUUGCCCAGGCAUAAAUAACAAGAACUUGGAAGAACUAAGAUUUUGUGGACCAUAAUUACUGGAGAAGGUGACACUUUGUCACUGGAUCUUAGUUUUACUAUUAUAUUUGGCUCCUCAAAGGUUUUAAUUACUAUACCCUCCCUCCAAUCUCCAAAAGAGCAUACAAUGGUGAAAUGAGAAGCAAAAGGGGUUUGACUAUUGUGGGUAAGGGAGCAAAUUAAAGUGGUGCUGUCCACAUUUUCAUGGCUGUUCUUUGUGGCCUUAAAAUGAUGGAAAUAGAUUACCCAAGUCUAGGCAUUCACGCAGUCAUGAAUGUGGACCAUCUGAUUAGACGGUUAGUAUUUUAAAGGUGUUUUUUUAAGUUAAAUUUACUAAAACAAUUUGUGAAUCAUUGGAUCUUCAUCAAACAGUUUUAAUUAUCUGACUGUGUGAAUGCGUAAGUCCGUCGACUACAGGAAUCCAGCUCCUAAAUGAUCAGUAUCUACAAAAGAAGGGUUCAGACGUUAAUUUAUUGUGGCUUGUCCUUUCUAGCCAGCUGCAACCCAUGAAAGCACUGCCACCUGAACUCUAUAUCUAGUAGUGUCAAAUUGAACUAAGCCUUUUAAUUUCAAGACUAGAUAGAUAAAUAAAUAAAAUAAAACCAAAAGCAUUUCAGAACUAUAUGAAAUUAAUGUGAACAGCACCAUAUAUACUAGAGCAUGCCUACAUGCACCCUGGUUGCAUUCAUUUGUCCCCAGUCCCCACUUCUCCAUCUUUGGGACUUAAUUUGGCGUUUUUAAAGCUUUUUUUGUCUUUGUCUGAGACUGCUAUCCAGGGAAGCUUUUGUUGGUAGGGGGGCCUUAUGGAAGGUACGUAGAAAUGAUAGUGGCUUCUUUGUGGAUCUUUGCCUUUUCCCUCUCAAGAUAGGAAUGAAUUGUUCCACCCUUUUUUUUUUUUUACCAAAAUCCAAAUCAUUCUAAUGGCCAAAUUACUUUUAAUUGAUUAAAAUCAAGUUUUAAAAACUAAUCUUAAACUGUUUUGGACAUAUGUUAAAAUUGAUAUUAACCAUAAUUUUUAUUUAAACAUGUACUUUUUUAAUACGAGAAUUAAGCUCUUAACAGUUAAAUAAACAAACACUAAUGAUUAUUUGUGUGAAAUCAGGCAGCCUCUACCGUGAGUAAGCUAAUGAAUGGUGCAUGAGUAAAUCACAGUAGUUUAACCGUAGCUUCUAUUGAUGAAUGAAUAAACAACUGAGAUUUAUUACCUUGACUUAGUAAUGCAGGUUGCUGGAAAAUUUACUCUUUGAUCCUUGAAAUUUGUUUUGGAAAAUUUGAAAAUUGCAGAGUGGGGAUAUAAGCUGAGAAAGAUCACGAAAUAGGUUUGGAAGGCAAAGUACUGAUCAGCUGAAUAUUUGAAGUCCAAAUUAUCAUGUCACUUCAGGAAAAGGAGUUUGAUGUUAGUUUUGGGAGCUACUAGGUGCUAGAAAGAAUAAGGAUCACCAUCUGCAUAAGUAUGCUUUUAACUGAAUGCGAGGUUUUUUUAUUUAUAACUAGUGAUUGCUUCUUUUUAAAAUUCUGCAGUAAUGCAGUAAAAAAGAAAAUCAGCAUUAAGAAAUUAGUUCAUGGGGUAAAUUUAUAAUGAGCUAAUUGAUUAUGUUCUGAAUUUUGUAUCUAGACAAAUGGUUCUGUUAGUUGUCCAAGAAUAAAACUUAAAAGCUCGUUCUUCUUUUACUCUAAUCUUGCAAUUAGAUGAUUGGCAUGCUAUUUUGUACUGAGUUUUUUUCUUCUGUUUUACUUUUCAGGCACAGCAACUAAUAUGGAUGGCAAUCUUUGACAUAUAAGCCACUCUAAAUAUCACACCACUAUUUGCUAGUCGAAGAAGUUUUAUGUUAGUUUUGAGAGCUACUAGGUUCUGAAAAGAAUAAAACAGAGCACUAUAUCUACCCAAGUAUGUUCAUAACGCGUGAGAAUGAUUUAUCAAACAAUUGUUUUUAGAAACACUAUCUGUUUAUCUUCUAAGAAAGAUUACAAUACUAAGAAGAAAGAAACAAUAGUCAUACAAUAUUUACUAAAUGCAAUAUCCAUCAUUCAAUGUUAAGCUAAAUACAAUAGUUGGACAUAUACUAUUACCUAAAUACAAUAGCUAUGUUACAUAUUGUUGCCUAAAUACAAUAUCCAUCAUUCAAUGUCAUAGAACAGUAUCUUCUAGUAGUUUGGCAUCCAACAAUAAAUAUCUAUAGAUGUUAAGCUUCAGACUGUGAAGAGUCUUGUAACAAUAUAAUAAUCAACAAGAGUCAUGUUGAUUAUAUAUAUUGAACUCCUCAAGCCCAACAAAC
rnacentral:lncRNA from 1 species